rnacentral:rRNA from 1 species
UACUAGCCGUUGGGACUCUUGAAGUCUUAGUGGCGCAGCUAACGCACUAAGUAGACCGCCUGGGGAGUACGGCCGCAAGGUUAAAACUCAAAUGAAUUGACGGGGGCCCGCACAAGCGGUGGAGCAUGUGGUUUAAUUCGACGCAACGCGAAGAACCUUACCUGGCCUUGACAUGCAGAGAACUUUCCAGAGAUGGAUUGGUGCCUUCGGGAACUCUGACACAGGUGCUGCAUGGCCGUCGUCAGCUCGUGUCGUGAGAUGUUGGGUUAAGUCCCGUAACGAGCGCAACCCCUAUCCCUAGUUGCUAGCAGUUCGGCUGAGAACUCUAGGGAGACUGCCGGUGACAAACCGGAGGAAGGUGGGGAUGACGUCAGGUCAUCAGUAACANGACGGCCAGGGCUACACACGUGCUACAAUGGUGCGUACAGAGGGCUGCAAACCCGCGAGGGGGAGCUAAUCUCACAAAACGCAUCGUAGUCCGGAUCGGAGUCUGCAACUCGACUCCGUGAAGUCGGAAUCGCUAGUAAUCGCGAAUCAGAAUGUCGCGGUGAAUACGUUCCCGGGCCUUGUACACACCGCCCGUCACACCAUGGGAGUGGAUUGCACCAGAAGUGGUUAGUCUAACCUUCGGGAGGACGAU